UACCGUGAGGGAAAGGUGAAAAGAUCCCCGAGAGGGAAGUGAAAUAGACCCUGAAACCAUGCGCUUACGAACAGUGGGAGCCGUAAGGUGACCGCGUACCUUUUGCAUAAUGAGUCAGCGAGUUACGUAUCGUGGCAAGGUUAAGCCGUAAGGUGUAGCCGUAGGGAAACCGAGUCUGAAUAGGGCGAUGAGUCGCGGUAUGUAGACCCGAACCCAGGUGAGCUACCCAUGGCCAGGUUGAAACGUUGGUAAAACUUCGUGGAGGACCGAACCC
rnacentral:rRNA from 16 species